rnacentral:rRNA from 2 species
UGGGCGUAAGCGCGCGCAGGCGGUUUCUUAAGUCUGAUGUGAAAGCCCCCGGCUCAACCGGGGAGGGUCAUUGGAAACUGGGAAACUUGAGUGCAGAAGAGGAGAGUGGAAUUCCACGUGUAGCGGUGAAAUGCGUAGAGAUGUGGAGGAACACCAGUGGCGAAGGCGACUCUCUGGUCUGUAACUGACGCUGAGGCGCGAAAGCGUGGGGAGCGAACAGGAUUAGAUACCCUGGUAGUCCACGCCGUAAACGAUGAGUGCUAAGUGUUAGAGGGUUUCCGCCCUUUAGUGCUGCAGCUAACGCAUUAAGCACUCCGCCUGGGGAGUACGGUCGCAAGACUGAAACUCAAAGGAAUUGACGGGGGCCCGCACAAGCGGUGGAGCAUGUGGUUUAAUUCGAAGCAACGCGAAGAACCUUACCAGGUCUUGACAUCCUUUGCCACUUCUAGAGAUAGAAGGUUCCCCUUCGGGGGACAAAGUGACAGGUGGUGCAUGGUUGUCGUCAGCUCGUGUCGUGAGAUGUUGGGUUAAGUCCCGCAACGAGCGCAACCCUUGAUCU